GAGUUUGAUCAUGGCUCAGGAUGAACGCUGGCGGCAGGCCUAACACAUGCAAGUCGAGGGGUAACAGAGGAAAGCUUGCUUUCUUGCUGACGACCGGCGCACGGGUGCGUAACGCGUAUACAAUCUGCCUUAUACAGAGGGAUAGCCUUUAGAAAUGAAGAUUAAUACCUCAUAGUCUAUUAAUAUAGCAUUAUAUAAAUAGUAAAGCUUCGGCGGUAUAAGAUGAGUAUGCGUCCUAUUAGUUAGUUGGUAAGGUAACGGCUUACCAAGACAACGAUAGGUAGGGGCCCUGAGAGGGGGAUCCCCCACACUGGUACUGAGACACGGACCAGACUCCUACGGGAGGCAGCAGUGAGGAAUAUUGGACAAUGGGCGCAAGCCUGAUCCAGCCAUGCCGCGUGCAGGAAGACUGCCCUAUGGGUUGUAAACUGCUUUUAUAUAGGAAGAAACCUCUUACGUGUAAGAAGC
rnacentral:rRNA from 1 species